rnacentral:rRNA from 1 species
CAGCACCUCAAGUGGUCAGGAUGAUUAUUGGGCCUAAAGCAUCCGUAGCCUGCUUUGUUAGUUUUCGGUUAAAUCCAUACGCUCAACGUAUGGGCUGCCGGGAAUACUGCAAAGCUAGGGAGUGGGAGAGGUAGACGGUACUCGGUAGGAAGGGGUAAAAUCCUUUGAUCUAUUGAUGACCACCUGUGGCGAAGGCGGUCUACCAGAACACGUCCGACGGUGAGGGAUGAAAGCUGGGGGAGCAAACCGGAUUAGAGACCCCAGUAGUCC